rnacentral:lncRNA from 1 species
UAAGUUUUCAAGAUCUCAACUCUUGCAUAUGGUUCCAUACAUAGUACACGUGCUAUGUGAGCUCUACAUGGGUUUAUGUUUUCUAUUAUAUAUUGGCACUUACUAAUAUUCCACUAGCUAGAGCCUCACAUUCAGUUUGCACUAGGCAUUCAUGUGCUACAAACAUAAUGGAAUGCCUAAUCACGUCUAGAGUCACUAGAACAUGUAAGCAGUCGGGUGUUUGUGACCUUGCU